rnacentral:ncRNA from 2 species
CUAAAGUGGCGUUGUAUCGGUUCUGCAAGUGUCAAAAACGCGCGCAGAUGAAAAGGGAAUACGGUGAGGACGACCCAAGUAAGGGCCGAAACCGUGGCUGCCCCCGCAACUGUGAACGGCGAGCGAUGUCCAUCAUGCCAUUGGCCUCAAGGCCGAUAAGGCGGACAAAGCCCAGACCCGUGAGCCAGGAGACCUGCCGAUACGCAUGCCGCGAA